GGUUGGAUCAUUAAAAUAGACAACGUCCGAAUCAUGAGUGCAUAUGACGUUGUAAAACUAAACUAUCUCAUACCACCUUUGUGAACUGUAUUUGUCUCUGGCGGGAGGGGUAAAAUUUCGCGUUUUAUCUGUCAGUUUGGUCUCCUUAUUUAAGGGGAUCAAGCCGUGGACAACCCGCCAAACACUUGUAUUAACCUUGAUUUUUGUUUAUGUCUAACAUUUUUUUGUAUAAAUAUACAAACAACUUUUGGCAACGGAUCUCUUGGCUCUCGCAACGAUGAAGAACGCAGCGAAAUGCGAUAAGUAGUGUGAAUUGCAGAAUUCAGUGAAUCAUCGAAUCUUUGAACGCACCUUGCGCUUCCUGGUAUUCCGGGGAGCAUGCCCGUUUCAGAAUCAUUAAAAUCUCACAAGUCAAUUUGCUUUCGGGCAUAUUGGCAGGUGGAUGUGGAUGUUUUGCACUCUGUGUGCAAACAUUUCAAAGUGAUUGUAUGUGCGCCUUGUUUAUUAACAUUGGUUAUCAAAAGUGCAACAGAUUUAUCUAUUUCAUUUUAAUAAUCAGUGUUAUAGCAUGGUGUUUUCGUACUCAAACCUAUUAAGUAAGGUUGAUUGUAUACAAUCAGCUUUCACUGAUAACUUGGUCUGAAAUCGGGCAAGAAAACCCGCUGAACUUAAGCAUAUCAAUAAGCGGAGGAAAAGAAACUAACAAGGAUUCCCCUAGUAACGGCGAGUGAAGCGGGAAUAGCUCAAAUUUGAAAUCUCAUAGGGUUACCUGUGCGAAUUGUAGUUUAGAGAAAUGUUUUCGGGGCGACUUGGUUAUAAGUCCUUUGGAAAGAGGCAUCGUAGAGGGUGACAAUCCCGUUUAUGAUCCAAUGUUCGCUCCUAUGUGAUACAUUUUCUAAGAGUCAGAUAGUUUGGGAUUGCUGUCUAAAAUGGGUGGUAAAUACCAUCUAAAGCUAAAUAUUGGCGAGAGACCGAUAGCGAACAAGUACCGUGAGGGAAAGAUGAAAAGAACUUUGAAAAGAGAGUUAAACAGUACGUGAAAUUGCCAAAAGGGAAACGCUUGGAACCAGUAUUGCUUGCAGGUAAUCAGCCAUAUGUCCUGAAAGGGAUACAUGCGGUGCACUUGCUUGCAGGCAGGUCAACAUCAGUUUGGUUUGGGGUAAAAAGCCGGAGGAAGGUGACUCGAGCUUUUGUUUGAGUGUUAUAGCCUCCGGUCAUGCCUUGGACUGGACUGAGGUCUGCAGUGUUAUUUGGAUUCCCGAUCGCCUUCUGAACCACAUUUUUAGACAGCUUGCUGACUAGGAGUGUGUCUAGGGAGCCCGGUCGGUUCAUCACACCAACACUUAGGAUGUUGACGAAAUGGUUCCAAACGACCCGUCUUGAAACACGGACCAAGGAGUCUAACAUAUAUGCGAGUAUUUGGGUGGUAAACCCUUAUGCGAAAUGAAAGUGAACUUAGGUGGGAUCUUCGGUGCACCAUCGACCGGUCUGGAUUUUUUUGAUAGAUCUGAGUAAGAGCAUAUCUGUUGGGACCCGAAAGAUGGUGAACUAUGCCUGAAUAGGGUGAAGCCAGAGGAAACUCUGGUGGAGGCUCGUAGCGAUUCUGACGUGCAAAUCGAUCGUCAAAUUUGGGUAUAGGGGCGAAAGACUAAUCGAACCAUCUAGUAGCUGGUUCCCUC
rnacentral:misc_RNA from 1 species